GUAGGUGAACCUGCGGAAGGAUCAUUAUUGAAUAAACUUGAACAGGCUGUUUUUAUUGCUGGCCCUUGGGGGCAUGUGCACGCUUGUUCAAUCUUUAUUUCUCCCACUGUGCACAUCUUGUAGACCCUGGAAAGUCUUUUUGAUUUCUUCGAAUGAGGAUUGCUGUGAAAAUCAGCUUUGCCUUGCCAUUUCCAGGGUCUAUGUCGUUUUCACAACCUCUGAAACGUGUUUAGAAUGUUGAAAUGGAUUAUAAUGUAAUACAACUUUCAGCAACGGAUCUCUUGGCUCUC
rnacentral:misc_RNA from 1 species